GGGUGUGUGGCCGAGCGGUUUAAGGCACCGGUCUUGAAAACCGGCGAGGGUUUAUCCCCUCCGUGAGUUCGAAUCUCACCGCACCCGCCA
rnacentral:tRNA from 2 species